UCCCUUGUGGCUCAGCUGGUAAAGAAUCUGCCUGCAACGUGGGAGACCUGGGUUCGAUCCCUGGCUUGGGAA
rnacentral:tRNA from 1 species